rnacentral:rRNA from 1 species
UACGGAGGGGCUAGCGUUGCUCGGAAUCACUGGGCGUAAAGCGCACGUAGGCGGCUUGUUAAGUCAGGGUGAAAUCCUGGAGCUCAACUCCAGAACUGCCUUUGAUACUGAAGAUCUUGAGUUCGGGAGAGGUGAGUGGAACUGCGAGUGUAGCGGUGAAAUGCGCAGAUAUCGGGAGGAACACCUAUGGCGAAGGCAGCUCGCUGGACGUUACUGACGCUGAGACGACGAAGCGUGGGGAGCAAACAGG